GACGAACCUUCCUAACGUUGUUCGGAAUCACUGGGCUUAAAGGGCGCGUAGGCGGGCUGCCAAGUCCGGGGUGAAAUCUUUCGGCUCAACCGGAAAAUAGCCUUGGAUACUGGCGGUCUCGAGGGAGGCAGGGGCCGUUGGAACUUCCGGUGGAGCGGUGAAAUGUGUUGAUAUCGGAAGGAACGCAGGUGGCGAAAGCGAACGGCUGGACCUCUUCUGACGCUGAGGCGCGAAAGCCAGGGGAGCAAACGGG
rnacentral:rRNA from 1 species